rnacentral:misc_RNA from 1 species
AGCAGCCGCGGUAAUCCCAGCUCCAAUAGCGUAUAUUAAAGUUGUUGCGGUUAAAAGCUCGUAGUUGAAUUUCGGGAUUGGCGCAUCGGUCGUGCCUCACGGGGUAUGAACUGGUGCAGUCAAUUUCUCACCUUCUGGAGAACCGCGAUGUCCUUAAUUGGAUGCCGCGGGGAACCAGGACCUUUACUUUGAAAAAUUAGAGUGUUUAAAGCAGGCAUUUUUGCUUGAAUACAUUAGCAUGGAAUAAUAAAAUAGGACGGCAUGGUUCUAUCUUGUUGGUUUCUAGGACCACCGUAAUGAUUAAUAGGGAUAGUUGGGGGCAUUAGUAUUCAAUUGUCAGAGGUGAAAUUCUUGGAUUUAUUGAAGACUAACUACUGCGAAAGCAUUUGCCAAGGAUGUUUUCAUUAAUCAAGAACGAAAGUUAGGGAUCGAAGACGAUCAGAUACCGUCGUAGUCUUAACCAUAAACUAUGCCGACUAGGAAUCAGACGAUGUUAAUUUUUUAAUGUACUCGUUUUGGC